rnacentral:rRNA from 1 species
GGACCCGCACAAGUAGUGGAGCAUGUGGUUUAAUUCGAAGAUACGCGCAGAACCUUACCAACACUUGACAUGUUCGUCGCGACUUUAAGAGAUUAAAGUUUUCGGUUCGGCCGGACGAAACACAGGUGCUGCAUGGCUGUCGUCAGCUCGUGUCGUGAGAUGUUGGGUUAAGUCCCGUAACGAGCGCAACCCUUGUCCUUAUUUGCCAGCACGUAAUGGUGGGAACUCUAAGGAGACUGCCGGUGACAAACCAGAGGAAGGUAAGGACGACGUCAAGUCAUCAUGCCCCUUACACUCUGGGCUACACACGUGCUACAAUGGUACUUACAAUGGGAUGCAAAGAGGUGACUCCUAGCUAAUCCCUAAAAUGUACCUCAGUUCGGAUUGUACUCUGUAACUCGAGUGCAUGAAGCUGGAAUU